rnacentral:rRNA from 1 species
GAUGAACGCUAGCGGGAGGCCUAACACAUGCAAGCUGAGCGGUAUUUCUUCUUCGGAAGAGAGAGAGCGGCGUACGGGUGCGGAACACGUGUGCAACCUGCCUUUAUCUAGAGGAUAGCCUUUCGAAAGGAAGAUUAAUACUCUAUAAUAUAUUAAUUGGCAUCAAUUGAUAUUGAAAACUCCGGUGGAUAGAGAUGGGCACGCGCAAGAUUAGCUAGUUGGUGAGGUAACGGCUCACCAAGGCAAUGAUCUUUAGGGGGCCUGAGAGGGUGAUCCCCCACACUGGUACUGAGACACGGACCAGACUCCUACGGGAGGCAGCAGUGAGGAAUAUUGGUCAAUGGGUGCAAGCCUGAACCAGCCAUCCCGCGUGAAGGAUUAAGGUCCUAUGGAUUGUAACCUUCUUUUGUAUAGGGAUAAACCUACCCUCGUGAGGGUAGCUGAAGGUACUAUACGAAUAAGCACCGGCUAACUCCGUGCCAGCAGCCGCAGUAAAAC